CUACUUAACGGGCAGGAGAGAGAUCAGGAUCAUGAAGGUGGUUUUCCCAGGGUGAGGCUCACCCAUUGCAUUCCGGGUGUGCUGACCCCUG
rnacentral:snRNA from 12 species